AGAGUUUGAUCAUGGCUCAGAACGAACGCUGGCGGCAGGCCUAACACAUGCAAGUCGAGCGCCCCGCAAGGGGAGCGGCGGACGGGUGAGUAACGCGUGGGAACGUGCCCUUUGGUACGGAAUAGUCUCGGGAAACUGGGGGUAAUACCGUAUAAGCUCUUCGGGGGAAAGAUUUAUCGCCAAAAGAUCGGCCCGCGUUGGAUUAGGUAGUUGGUGGGGUAAUGGCCUACCAAGCCGACGAUCCAUAGCUGAUUUGAGAGGAUGAUCAGCCACACUGGGACUGAGACACGGCCCAGACUCCUACGGGAGGCAGCAGUGGGGA
rnacentral:rRNA from 1 species